UGGGGAAUAUUGGACAAUGGGCGAAAGCCUGAUCCAGCCAUGCCGCGUGAGUGAUGAAGGCCCUAGGGUUGUAAAGCUCUUUUACCUGGGAAGAUAAUGACUGUACCAGGAGAAUAAGCCCCGGCUAACUUCGUGCCAGCAGCCGCGGUAAUACGAAGGGGGCUAGCGUUGUUCGGAAUUACUGGGCGUAAAGCGCACGUAGGCGGAUCGUUAAGUCGGGGGUGAAAGCCCGAGGCUCAACCUCGGAAU
rnacentral:rRNA from 1 species